GCUCGUGGAUCGAUGAAGACCGCAGCUAAAUGCGCGUCGGAAUGUGAACUGCAGGACACAUGAACACCGACAAGUUGAACGCAUAUUGCACACCGUACAACAGUACGAUGUACACAUUUUUGAGUGCCUAUAUUUAUCCAUUCAACUGUACGUGCGUGCGUGUCCCGCCACAGCGCUGGCGCGAGGACAGUCGCACCACGUACUCACCUGGCCCUCAGUAAAACGUUGAAGAUAGGCGCGCCCCACCCAGGUGCGGUUGAUGAAUACAUCCCUUAGACCAACGCGCUUGGUUAUGUUGUAUUUCAUCGGCAGGCCAGCCGGCCACCGCCACCCAGUAGGCCUCAAAUAAUGUGUGACUACCCCCUAAAUUUAAGC
rnacentral:rRNA from 1 species